rnacentral:lncRNA from 1 species
CAAACUCCUGACCUCGUGAUCCACCCGCCUUGGACUCCCAAAGUGCUGGGAUUACAGUUGUGAGCCACUGUGCCCGGCCUAGCAAGAUCACUUUUUAAGUAUCCAGAAAAGCUCUUUCUUAUGUUGAAUUAUGUCCAGAGGCAUAACUAGACUGAAGGUUUAGACUCCAUUCAUUCUCCUAUGUUUUUGUUCUUAACUGCAUUCUGCAGUCAAAUCAGGAGCUUUAGAAAAUACUGAUGCCUGGCUCUCAACCAGAGAGAACUGAAUUGAAUUGGUCUGGUGAAUUCAUUAAAAGAGCUAACAACAAUGAAGUUAAUGUACGCAUCUCACCUCUCAAGAGUAUUAACAGGCCAGGCGUGUUGGCUCAUACCUGUAAUCCCAGCACUUUGGGAGGCCAAGGCGGGCGUAUCACCCGAGAUAAGUUCAAGACCAGCCUGACCAACAUGGUGAAACUCCGUCUCUACUAAAAAUACAAAAUUAGCCAGGCAUGGUGGUGCAUCCCUG